CUAUCUCAUAGAGCUGGAAGGGACCCUGAAAGGUCAUUGAGUCCAGCCUCCUGCCUUCACUAGCAGGUCCAAGUACUGAUCUUGCCCCAGUUUCCCUAAGUGGUCCUCUCAGGGAUUGAACUUACAACUUUGGGGUUAGCAAGCCAAUGCUCAAACCACUGAGCUAUCUCUAUUCCCCACGUACUU